ACUAGCCGCACCGGCGGCAACCGGCGGGCGACGCCAACAUCAUUCUGUCGCCAAUAUUUCCAUUAUGUUUGUGUGUGGGUUCAUAUUAUUGUGUAUGUGUGUGUAUGCGAACACACACACAUACACACGACACACUAAAUAGACAAGUGAUACGACGCGUGUAUGUGCGGAAACGACGAGAGGGCAGUCGCAGUCCCCUCGAGGUAUUAUGUUGUGUGCGAGUGGUGUCGUGUGUGGGGUGGGUGAUAUUAAAAAUAGUUAACGGUUCGGUUGGCUCGGGGGCGCCACGGCGGCAAAAGUGUAUACAGUAAAUUAUUAUUAUUAUUGUUAUUAUUGCUGCGCUAUUAUAUCGAAUGUACGGCAAUGUUUGGUUUUUUCCGAAUUUACACAUAUCGCGUUUUUAACGUGAUAUAUAUUAUAAUUUGUUAUGUACACCAUCUCGUCCCGCCAGCGGUUUGUUUCCGCAGAAGGUCGCAGUACGACCCUCACGCGGGUCCGCCGUUGUUUACACGAGUCGGUGGCGGCGUCAAAACGUCGAGUCAGCAAAGUAAAUAACUCGGUGACGACGAGAAAGUGAACAAUCCGCUGGAGUGCUGGACAGUUGGUUGUAUUUCGGUAAAUACGAGUUACGACCACCGCCAACAUCUGCACCACAAUGUCCGCAAUAAUAUAAGAAAUUAGAGUGUCAAGUGGUAACAUGCUAG